rnacentral:misc_RNA from 1 species
GAUGAAGAACGCAGCGAAAUGCGAUAAGUAAUGUGAAUUGCAGAAUUCAGUGAAUCAUCGAAUCUUUGAACGCACAUUGCGCCCGCCAGUAUUCUGGCGGGCAUGCCUGUUCGAGCGUCAUUUCAACCCUCAGGGCCCUUUUGGACCUGGCGUUGGGGCUCGGCCGCUACCUUGCGGCCGUCCCCGAAAGAUAGUGGCGGUCUCGCUGUAGCCUCCUCUGCGUAGUAGUUACAUCUCGCACUGGAACGCGGCGCGGCCAUGCCGUUAAACACCCCACUUCUCAAGGUUGACCUCGGAUCAGGUAGGAAUACCCGCUGAACUUAAGCAUAUCAAUAAGCGGAGGA